UACGUAGGUGGCUAGCGUUGUCCGGAUUUACUGGGCGUAAAGAGCGCGCAGGCGGUCGUUCAAGUCGAGUGUGAAAGCCCCCGGCUCAACUGGGGAGGGUCACUCGAUACUGAUCGACUUGAAGGCGGGAGAGGGAAGCGGAAUUCCCGGUGUAGUGGUGAAAUGCGUAGAUAUCGGGAGGAACACCAGUGGCGAAGGCGACUACCUGGCCUGUUCUUGACGCUGAGGCGCGAAAGCUAGGGGAGCAAACGGG
rnacentral:rRNA from 1 species